AGUGAACGCUGGCGGUAGGCCUAACCCAUGCAAGUCGAACGGCAGCACAGGAGAGCUUGCUCUCUGGGUGGCGAGUGGCGGACGGGUGAGGAAUACAUCGGAAUCUACUUUUUCGUGAGGGAUAACGUAGGGAAACUUACGCUAAUACCGCAUAAGACCUAUGGGUGAAAGCAGGGGAUUUUCGGACCUUGCGCGAUUGAAUGAGCAGAUGUCGGUUUAGCUAGUUGGCGGGGUAAAGGACCACCAAGGGGACGAUCCGUAGCUGGUCAGAGAGGAUGAUCAGCCACGCUGGAACUGAGGCACGGUCCAGACUCCUACGGGAGGCUGCAGUGGGGAACAUUGGACAAUGGGCGCAAGCCUGAUCCAGCCAUACCGCGGGGGUGAAGAAGGCCGUCAGGUUGUAAAGCCCUUUUGUUGGGAAAGAAAUCCAGCUGGUUAAUACCCGGUUGGGAUGACGGUACCCAAAGAAUAAGCACCGGCUAACUUCGUGCCAGCCGCCGCCGUAA
rnacentral:rRNA from 1 species